GCGAUUGUUCAUUCGUGGACGCAAACGACGGUAAAUACUAAAAAAAUGACGGUCCCAAGAUAAAGUACUGAGAAGUCAGGAUUAGCAAACCGCUAGCCUAAGGCGGAUUCUCCGCCCGCGCACUUUUGAAAUUUUAUAAAAUGUCAAAAUACAGCGCACGUGUGCUUUCCUGUUGCAAUUUUUGCAAAUAUUUGAUGAAAAUUUAACCGAAAUACAAGACUACGAGAAAUAUUUGUGUUUUUUCAACGUUUAUGGGACACUGCAGUUGCUGGUUGUAACUGGUUUGGCAGAUAUCGUUGAGUUUUUCGCCUUGUGGCCCUUGUCGAAUGUUGAUGUAUUUCAGCACUGGAUCGUUUGAGAUAGGUAGGUGUUUCCGUU
rnacentral:lncRNA from 1 species